rnacentral:rRNA from 1 species
UACGUAGGGUGCGAGCGUUGUCCGGAAUUAUUGGGCGUAAAGAGCUUGUAGGCGGUUUGUCGCGUCUGCUGUGAAAAUCCGGGGCUCAACCCCGGACUUGCAGUGGGUACGGGCAGACUGGAGUGUGGUAGGGGAGACUGGAAUUCCUGGUGUAGCGGUGGAAUGCGCAGAUAUCAGGAGGAACACCGGUGGCGAAGGCGGAUCUCUGGGCCGGUACUGACGCUGAGACGCGAAAGCGUGGGGAGCGAACAGG